rnacentral:tRNA from 1 species
GGGGUAUUAGCUCAGUUGGUAGAGCGUGUGGUUCGCAAUCACAAGGUCAGGAGUUCGAGGCUCCUAUGCUCCA